rnacentral:rRNA from 1 species
GACAGAGGGUGCAAACGUUGUUCGGAAUUACUGGGCGUAAAGCGUGUGUAGGCGGUCCGGCAAGUCGGAUGUGAAAGCCCCGGGCUCAACCCGGGAAGUGCACCCGAUACUGCCAGACUAGAGUACCGGAGAGGUUGGUGGAAUUCUCGGUGUAGAGGUGAAAUUCGUAGAUAUCGUAAGGAAGACCAGUGGCGAAGGCGGGUCUCUAGACAGUUCCUGACGCUGAAGUACGAAGGCCAGGGGAGCAAACGGG